rnacentral:lncRNA from 1 species
CCACCCAGAAGCCCGCCGCAGAUGUGCAAUUCGGGUCCCUCAGUAUAACUCUCCAGGUUGCCAUCACCACCUACUCGUCGCCCAUAUUGGAAUCGAACAACCUGCAGGAGAUGAACACUACUGAGAAAAUCGUGCUGGCGUUCAAGCAGAUCACCACUGCGUCCGACAACCUCCGCAAGGAAGUGCAGCUGAUCAACAUCAUCAAUGCUCCUCUCCAGGGCUUCAAGAUUGCUGAGGGAUUCGCUAAAAUCAUCAGCGCCAUCGCCGAGUACACGAUCAAGAUUAACGAGGGUGGCGUCAAGAACUACAACAGUCCUUUGCCAGACGCGGACGCCCAGAUCGUGGUGCAAUCCCUGACGACCUUCGUGCAAGUGCACCAGGCAUUGCUCAAUGUGGUGAUCGGCAAGCACGGCCUCCUUACUUUGAUCCCGUUCUUCGAGCCCAUCAGGUUGUCGCUGGUGUCCCUGGAAGCAACCAUAGACGCCUUCGCGUUUGCCCUCAUAGCCGAAAUCCCCACCCAGAAGCCCGCCGCAGAUGUGCAAUUCGGGUCCCUCAGUGUAACCCUCCAGGUUGCCAUCACCACCUACUCGUCGCCCAUAUUGGAAUCGAACAACCUGCAGGAGAUGAACACUACUGAGAAAAUCGUGCUGGCGUUCAAGCAGAUCACCACUGCGUCCGACAACCUCCGCAAGGAAGUGCAGCUGAUCAACAUCAUCAAUGCUCCUCUCCAGGGCUUCAAGAUUGCUGAGGGAUUCGCUAAAAUCAUCAGCGCCAUCGCCGAGUACACGAUCAAGAUUAACGAGGGUGGCGUCAAGAACUACAACAGUCCUUUGCCAGACGCGGACGCCCAGAU